rnacentral:sRNA from 1 species
AGGGCGAAUUGUUUUGGGAAUUGGUUUGACCCGAACCUUGAGUGGAAGCCUUGUACGAAUCCUUGUCGGUAUAGCUAAUUUGGUACGCGAGGGCAUUCGGGUGCUCCGGUAAGGUAGCCCCUGUUGCGGUGGUGGUGGUACUACUUGUAGCUGCUUGCGCGGCCAACUGAGCUUGAUCCGCCCACACCCCCUUGAAAUCCCACACACUCUCCACGCGGCCCAGCCGGUUGACCCAACUGCCACGAAAGGCCGCUCAGGGCCGCUUGGCCCAAAUUAACUCCCUUUGGGUCGCUUCACUUACAUCGAGACCCGUUAACUGGAGCCCGAGGUAACCAGCGCGGGGUUUGAUAAAGUCCGUGAACGUAACUAACCACCCGCCGAGCUGGAAGCUGAAGCUGGUGCCACUGACAACGAUGUUACCAACGUCUUGCGGCGUUCAAGCCAACCCGGGGGUGAUCAGCACAGCCUUCGACGUUGUGUUUGUGCCACUUUGUUCGGGAAUUUUAAAACCGAUACCGGGUGAACUGGUCGUGUUGGACCCCGAACCACUCGCUCGCGUGUUCCCAAAAUAGGUUUCCACCAACGCCGGAUUCAACAACCCAUUCACCUCGCCGUAAGCGGGGAGGUUCAGUUUGGUUUGGUCCGACUGUAAGUCGGUGUAGGACCAUUUUUGGUCCUCCGCCUUAAACUUACUGUUAUCAUCUUGGCCGGACUUAUUAACCAACACCGGGAUGCUGCCCAACAGGCCGCGCAGGAACAGCUG